rnacentral:rRNA from 1 species
AACGAACGCUGGCGGCAUGCCUAACACAUGCAAGUCGAACGAGACCUUCGGGUCUAGUGGCGCACGGGUGCGUAGCGCGUGGGAAUCUACCCUUGGGUUCGGAAUAACAGUUAGAAAUGACUGCUAAUACCGGAUGAUGACGUAAGUCCAAAGAUUUAUCGCCCAAGGAUGAGCCCGCGUAAGAUUAGCUUGUUGGUGGGGUAAUGGCCUACCAAGGCGACGAUCUUUAGCUGGCCUGAGAGGAUGAUCAGCCACACUGGGACUGAGACACGGCCCAGACUCCUACGGGAGGCAGCAGUGGGGAAUAUUGGACAAUGGGCGAAAGCCUGAUCCAGCAAUGCCGCGUGAGUGAUGAAGGCCUUAGGGUUGUAAAGCUCUUUUACCAGGGAUGAUAAUGACAGUACCUGGAGAAUAAGCUCCGGCUAACUCCGUGCCAGCAGCCGCAGUAA